rnacentral:rRNA from 1 species
AACGAACGCUGGCGGCAUGCCUAACACAUGCAAGUCGAACGGGAUCCUGGCUUCGGCCAGGUGAGAGUGGCGGACGGGUGAGUAACGCGUGGGAACCUGCCCAUUGGUCUGGGAUAACUGCGGGAAACUGCAGCUAAUACCGGAUGUACCCGAGAGGGGAAAGAUUUAUCGCCGAUGGAGGGGCCCGCGUCAGAUUAGGUAGUUGGUGAGGUAACGGCUCACCAAGCCUACGAUCUGUAGCUGGUCUGAGAGGAUGAUCAGCCACACUGGGACUGAGAUACGGCCCGGACUCCUACGGGAGGCAGCAGUGGGGAAUAUUGGACAAUGGGGGCAACCCUGAUCCAGCAAUGCCGCGUGAGUGAUGAAGGCCUUAGGGUUGUAAAGCUCUUUUACCAGGGACGAUGAUGACGGUACCAUGCAAGAAAGGAUCGGCUAACUUCGUGCCAGCAGCCGCGGUAAU